rnacentral:rRNA from 1 species
GACGAACCGUGCGAACGUUGUUCGGAAUCACUGGGCUUAAAGGGCGCGUAGGCGGGCCCCCUUGUCCGGGGUGAAAGCUUUCGGCUUAACCGGAAAAGUGCCCCGGAAACGGGGGGGCCUGGAGGGAGGUAGGGGCGGCCGGAACUUCCGGUGGAGCGGUGGAAAUGCGUAGAUAUCGGAAGGAACGGCCGGUGGCGAAAGCGAGCUGCUGGAUCCCGUCCUGACGCUGAGGCACGAAGGCCAGGGGAGCAAACGGG